rnacentral:lncRNA from 1 species
UUUUGUAUGGAAUGCUUCACGAAUUUGCGUGUCAUCUUUGUGUAGAGACCAUGUUAAUCUUCUCUGUAUUGGUCCGGUUUUUAGUAUAUGUGCUGCUGAAGCGAGCACCACAAGCAUUCUUUUAUUGAUUGAUUGGUUGAGAUAGGGUCUCGCUUUAUCACUCAGGAUGGAGUGUAGUGCCACGAUCUUGGCUCACUGCAACCUCCACCUCCCGGGUUCAAGCGAUUCUCCUGCCUCAGCAUCCCCAGUAGCUGGGAUUAAAGGCAUCUGCCACCUCACCUGGCUAAUUUUUUGGGUACUUUUCGUAGAGAUGGGGUUUUACCAUGUUGGUCAGGCUGGUCUCGAAUGCCCGACCUCAGGUGAUCCGCCCGCCUCUGCCUCCCAAAGUGCUGGGAUUAUAGGCGUGAGCCACCGCGCCCUGCCCGAGUCAGGUUUUUUUAUUGCAAAAGAUGGGAACUGAUUCUGGCUAAUUAAAUCAGGAAAUGAAUUUUAUUGAAAGCACAUUGAGUAAGUUACAGAAUCACUUGAAGGCUGUAGAAACAAGGCUUGGGAAAAAAGCAGAAACAGAGACCAGGUACCUAGAAUUACACCAAAUUCCAUCACAGAGCCAGAUAGGUGAGGACAGCCUCAGUGCUGCUGCUGCUGAACGCCCAGUGCUGCUGCCUUUGUCACAGCCACAGCUGGCGUUGGAUGCUGGAUGCCAUGCUGACCCCAGUGGCAAGGCGUCUGGACACUGGAUACUGCUGCCACUGCUGCAACCACUGUAAAGAAUUUUUUCCAUCCUCACCUCCAGCCUCAGAAAUCCUAAGCAAAUGCAGCUGAUUGGUCAAGCUGCCCUAGCUGCCUAGGGACAUGCAAAAGUGAAUAUUGGGCAUGGUUAAUGUCUGUAGUGGGAUCCGUUUCCUGCUGCCCACCAGGAGAAGAUAAAUUCCCCAAGAAAACUGACAAAUGACGACUACGUACAUGUUGUCAAAGAAUCCACUGGAAGUCUUUGACAUUUGCAGAUUCAACACUUGCAAUUUUGGUAAUUUAUUAGUUACUCCCAAAGGCCCAUUAUAAAUGAAUAUGAGUUGAAUGAUUGGCUUUGCCUGUUAGUGAGCCAGGCCUACUGCUCUGCCUGGAUAUCUCACAUGACUGUUAUCCUUUAUGUAGUUUGCAUGCAGUGAUUAAAAUAUUUGUUUCUUGUUUGCAGAGUAGAAAAGAUUCAUAAAAUAAAUAAUCCAAUAGUGCCAGUGAUAUAAACAAAGAGAAAGUGGGGAGGUAUAAGACAGUAACUUUGUUUUUUGGCUACAAAUAGAAGUUUUGGAUAAAUUGGCAUGCUGUGUCAAGUUCAGUGGUGUCUAAGAUCCCUGAUAUCAUUAGAUCCACCAUGUGUGUCACUGAGAUACAAGGAAAAGUUGUUCAGUGAGUGCAUCAGCCAGGCUGCUCAUCAAGAGAGAGAUUAACCUUUUUUUUUUUUUUGAGACAGAAUCUCACUCUGUCGCCCAGGCUGGAAUGCAGUGGCAAAAUCUCAGCUCACUGCAACCUCCGCCUCCCACUGCAACCUCCACCUCCUGGGUUCAAGAGAUUCUCCUGUCUCAGCCUCCCGAGUAGCUGGGAUUACAGGCACAUGCCACCACUGCCGGCUAAUUUUUGUAUUUUUGCUAGAGACAGGGUUUCACCAUGUUGGUCAGGCUGGUCUCGAACGCCUGACCUCAAGUGAUCUGCCUGCCUCGGCCUCUCAAAGUGCUGGGAUUACAGGUGUGAGCUACCAUGCCUGGCCUGGCUAUACUUUACAAUGUAAUUUUGGGAGACACUAUGUGGUAUGUAGUGCAUUAGGGCAUCUGAAAGGUCUGGAAAAAUCUCUUGCAAAUGUCAGGAGUCUCCUAUGUAAAUCUCUUUAUAGAAAUCUCUUUUCGGCUGGGCAUGGUGGUUUAAGCCUAUAAUCCCAGCACUUUAUGAGGCCUAGGUGGAUGGAUCACUUGAGGUCAGGAGUUCGAGACCAGCCCGACCAACAUGGUGAAACCCCGUCUCUAUUAAAAAUACAAAAAAAU